rnacentral:rRNA from 1 species
UACAGAGGUCUCAAGCGUUGUUCGGAUUCAUUGGGCGUAAAGGGUGUGUAGGUGGCGCGCUAAGUCGGGUGUGAAAUUUCGGAGCUUAACUCCGAAAUUGCAUUCGAUACUGCCGUGCUUGAGGACUGGAGAGGAGACUGGAAUUCAUGGUGUAGCAGUGAAAUGCGUAGAGAUCAUGAGGAAGACCAGUGGCGAAGGCGGGUCUCUGGACAGUUCCUGACACUGAGGCACGAAGGCCAGGGGAGCAAACGGG